AAAGCUGAAGAAGUUUGUCGCACUUGUGUUCGUCGAGAAUCUCAGGAGCAGACAUUUAAUCAUUUGAGCUCAUCAAGUUAAAACAGUAGAGGCAAAGAGUUUUGAAAAAGAAGAUCUUUGGUGGUCUCAGCAAGUUGGAAACAAUAUUCAAAAAGAAGAUCUCUGAUUUGGAUCUGCCUUCGACUUGGCUAUAUCAAGGAUCACAGCUAAAUAACAAGGAUGACUAAU